CAGCGCUGUCUAGUGACCUGUCACCUCAGCGCUGUCUAGUCUCACUCCAGUGCCAGACUAACCUCGGUCAGCAGAAGGACUGGGCCACAACACUGGCUCUUCCCUUUCGAAGGCCGAGAACACAC